UAGUUGCAGAGAUGAAGUCUCCAUGAGAGGGGUAAGAUAUCAUAUAAAGAGUAUGACAAUCUGGCUUGGCAAGACCAGUUUGACAUCCAAGACAGUGAAGAGCUUAAUAGAAUGAAGGAAGAAAAUGCCAAUCUUCAAGAAAAACUGAAUGAUGCAGGUAUACAUUCUUAAUUGAUAUUCCAGACACUACAGAUUUGUAAAAUAUAAAAAAUCGCUCGUGAGCCAUAUAUGAUAUAUUGAAUUUUAAACUUCUUCACUUGCAGUAAUCACUUUCUUAGUCAAAUAAAAUGAUAGUAUUUCCUUAAUUGUCUAGAGGAAUCAUACAUGUACAACUUUAAAUAGAAAUAUAUUUAAAUAGAUUUUUUUUUUUAAAAAAAAGUUUUUAAAAUGAUGGAUAUUAUUAUGUUAAAGCUUUUGAAUUUAAAGGUUCUUUCAAUCUUUAACGUUACACUAAGUGGAGAUAACUAGAUUGAAACUAUAAUUUUUAUUUUUUCUCAACUAUAUGGUAUUAGAUGAUGUAUACAAAUUUGAAUUUUUAAGGUGAAAAAUUUCUUGUUUUCUCAAAGAUGAAGCAAACGAUACUUUAUUUAAUACUAUAGAUGAUGAACUGAUAUAUACACAAAGAACAAUUCAUGCAACACAACUUUUUUUCUACAGAUAGGGCAAUUGUUCUUCUCUGAUAGCCAGGUGAAUAUGCAACUCCUAUGGAAUACAUGGGAGCACGGUGUGGUCACUGCCACCACUGAUUCAUGACAAAAUUUCCCAAAGCAAAUAGGGCAUAUGUCGUCUGCCAACUCAAAAUUAUUCUUCAAUAAUACUUCCCCCACUGUCAUAAUCUUCAAUCCGCAUAUAAAUUCUUGUUUUUUCCCAUCGAAUACGUUUUCAGAACAAAAAAAGCAAAGCGCGCUCCAUCAAGUAAUUAGACAUAGAAUGAAGGAUGUUUUGAAUAUCAGAAUUUUCAACAUCAAACUCUAUGUCAAGUCGAGCCAAAUAUAGUUCAUCCGUACAAUAAAAUCCAUUUAGAUAUAAAUUUCUCCUCUUAUUAUCAGACUCUAGAACUCCAUACAUGUAAAAUUAACUAUAUUUUCAUCGCUGCUCUCACUAACAUUAUUCCACAAUAUCUCGUACAUAUUACUAUUAUUAGUUAAGCAGAUCAUUUCCACGUCCACGUUCACAGUCACCACAAUCAACUGAAGUAGGAAACAAAUUCAAUUAGGAUUUUCCCGAAUUAACUUCGUGAAAUAAAUCAAGAGUAGGAAUCCUAACUAGUUUAUGAUUUAUUAUAUGGUAUUUAAUUAUGUCUUAGUCAGGAUCUGUUUGUCAUAGUUCAUACGGUGAUAAGUUUUUCUAGUCCUAAUUUAGAGCCCAUUUGGUGGGAAUAACAAUUUAUUUUCCUUCCUACACAAAUCAGGAUUUUCCGGAAUUAACUUGGUUUUCAUGGUAAAUAAAUAGAGAGUGGGAAUCCUAAGUAGUUUAGAAUUUAUUAUUUGAUAUUUAUUUAAUUAUGUCUAGUUAUAAUUUAUUUGUCUGGUUUAUAUAGGAAUAGGUUCUUUUAGUCCUAGUUUAAUUUGGUUUGUUAGUAUUAUAAAUAGGGGUAUCUUAAUUAUUACAUAUUUCCAUAUAAGGUUUUUCAAAUCCGAACCAAAAUUGAUAACUCUAACCAACAAAAAGUUAUUGAUUUAUCGGUAAUGGUUAUUGGUAUAGCUGUUUCGGUAACGGUUUUAAUUUUUUUUAAUUAUCGGGUUAUCGAUUCUUAACGGUUUGAAGUUUUUUCUUAACGGAUUAACCAUAACUUGAUAGUAAAUUAAAUAACUAUAUUUAUACCAUUUGGUAUAUAAAGUCCUUGAAAUUUUUAUUAUCGGGUUAUUCAAUUCUUAACGGUUUGAAGUUUUUUAUUAACGAAUUAACCAUAGUCUGAUAGUAAAUUAAAUAAUUAUAUUUAUAUCAUUUGAUAUAUAAAGUCCUUGACUUAGAGUUAAGUUUCAUACGUUUAUUUUAGGUUGUCUCAAACUUUCAAUUAUUUUACAAUGUUAUUGUGUUAGCUUUUGAGCAAGAUGCAUUCUAGCAACUUUCAUGUGCAUGAUUCAUUUGGUUUGUCAUUUUGUUUCUGAGUAAUUUUCCAUGAUUUUUUUGUGUCAAAUUCUAACGGUUAAAUCGAUAACGAUCUACAAUUGAUCAACCAAUAAGAAGUAAGUCAAUAUCUUAAUGGUUUUAGCAUAUUUACAAACCGAUAACCGAUAACCGAUAUCUUAUAUUGUACUAUAUAUAUGUUUUUAAAAUACUUUUUAUUUGCGUCUUUCUUCACUAAAACAUGCUCUUCAGCUUGCACUGACACUUGCUCUCUUCUGCUUUUGCCUUUUACACCUGCUUUACACAUCCAUUAAUAUUAGUUGACUUGAUGAGUGUUUUAGCUUAAGGUACUACGUCAAAAAUAUGUUUUAGUGGUAAUGGAAUAAUUGCCGUUAAAUAUAUAUGAUUUAGAUGCAAUUACUAGUGACAAUUACAUUUAGCACUCUUUGUAAAUGUCAAUAAAAGGUUUAACACUCUUUGUUAAUGUGUAUAUUUAUUACCGCUAAAAGUUAUUUUUGUUGAAGUGAGGAAGGCUUUAGAGACAAAAUCCUCCGGCGACUGAAAAGCUUCAAUAUCACAACAAAAACCGACAAAUCUACUAUCACCCGUAGUAUAUUUGGGUUGUAACUUGUUGAAAUUGAAGUUUCGAAAGCUUUGUCAAAUUUUGGAUUUUUCUUCCGAACGGGUAAACCGUAAAUUUUGUCUAGUCUGCUUUCACGCAAUUCAACUAAUUCGACGUGAUACUUGUCACCUCCCACCAGCAGACAGCAACAGGUAUGGGUGGAAAUGCUUUUUUUUUUUUGUCUUUGCAGGGAUUUAACCCACUUUAUUAAAUACUAGGCUACACCCUUGGACGUAGAAGAGGUAAAAUUAACUGUAUGAUUCCUUUCCUAGUUAGUAAUAUGUAAUAUGCCUUUAUGAACUUGUUGUAGGAGUAAAAUCAUCUCCGUCGUUAUGAAAACUGAUAUACAUAUGUUUGUUGCAAGUUGUCAAUUAGCAAUUACACAAACUUACCACUACCUUGUAGAGAGGUUGUUCCGAUAGGCUCUUAACUCAAGUAAACAUAGAAAAAAUAAUACUCAAGAGAAAAGGAAAAUUGAACAGAUUCCAAUUCUUCACAAUUAGGCCCCAUUAAGCGCUACAAUGAGCUGUUGAAAAAUGAAUAAGUGCAUAAAGAAAAAAGUAAUGAAUAGACAUAAAGCAAAAGAUACCUUCCUCUAUUAUUGCCUCAAUUAUUCAAUUACGAGUCUAACGUUUUUUUCGAGUCAUACAUUUUGAAAAGAGAAAAAAGGACAAUUUAUCUUCUCAAAAUUCUUAAAAUUAUUUUGUGGUUCUUUCUUUUGCUUGAAUAUUUGGUGGUGCAUUUCUCUCUUCAGUUUUGAUUGUUCUCUUUGAUAGGCUUGCACAACUUUAAACGCGUCAAGUGAGUCUAAGGUCACUUCUUUAUGCCCUUAUGAAACAAAAAGAAGAUUUUUGAAUCAGUCUUGAAUUAAGGAUGUGUGUUAUGUGUAGUCCUUUAAAUCUUGUGAUUUUAAACUUGUCGUCAAGUAGAAUAUAGGAAUUGAAAACUUACUAUAUAUAAAAAGAGGUACUCUUUUUGAGAUAAAUCAAAAAGAAAAGUAAGACCCCCAAGGGGUUUGAUGUGGACAAUCUAACCUAAUAAAAAUAUUAGUCUCUCCUUUCACAACUCAAAUUCGUGACCUAUAAGUCACAUGAAGACAAAUUACCCUGUUGCUCCAAGGCUCCCCUACACAAUGGAUCAAUAGAUUUAAUUUCUGACCAUUGUUUAGGUUUCAACUCUAAAGAGGUAUAAUGCAAGAAAAUAAUUUAAACAGUUUGUUAUAACCUCAAAAAAGAAGAAAAGAAAAUGAUAAGAAAGGAAGUGCGAUGAAAAAAAAAAAAAAGAAAGUGAAGUAUCAUUCAAACAAGGAAUCCAGUUUUGUUAAAUUCAAAAUUUUAGCAAUAAUAUUUAUUUAUUUUUUGACGAAAAAUCUUUUCAAGAAUAUAGAGUAAGCAUAGUCCUGGUAUGGUAGUCCCUUUUAGCACUAUAAUAAUGAGCGGUAUAAAAAUUUAUCAUUUUAAGCUCUUUUAUUUUUAGUAGAAACAUAUUCAUGAAUGUGUUGAAACAUAUUUAUGAUAUGGUAGUCCCGCCUGGCCCCCCUUUCUACACCCCAAGCACCAUUCAUCUCUUGCUUCAAUUAUUUGACUAGGAUUUUCAUUUUUAGGAUUUUGAUAACGCUCGACAAUUAUUAGGGAAGUGAAAAGUUUUGAACGUCUCUCAAGGGAAAUGUGUUUGAAGUUUAAGUGAUAUUUAUUCUUAUGUUCGAUUUAGCAUCAGGAUGGUGGCUAUAAUAGUUUGUAUUUUUGGCUUUGGGCCUAGGCUCGCACAAUUUUAAACAUGUCACUUAGGUCUAAGGCUCACUUCUUUAUAUACCAACAAUCAACAUUUCUCUUGUGUUUUGCCUGUGUGGUAUUUUCCUAGCAUGUUACAAUGAUGUUGUUUUUAGUCUGGAUAUGUCUUGGCCUACGGAAAGCAAAAGACAACACAAUUAUUAAUUCUCUUACAUAAUACUUUUGCAGAGAUAUUUCAGUGUUUGGUCUUUCCAAGUAAUACCAAAGCUAAUAUAUGUAUUAUUUUCUCUAAUACUUUGUACUAAUUCUGGUAUAUCACGAGAUUAGUAACAAAACUCUGGAUAAGACAAUACUAAAAUUUUAUCCCAAGACUAUCUAUGAUCGACUAGCUUACCAUACUACCUUUUAAAAUUAUUGAUGAAGCUUGAAUGAUACUUUACAUUGUUGGAACAAAAAACUGUUCUGGUAAAUUAUUAAACGUGUAUUAGCAGAAACUAUUAAUGUCUACUUAUAUUUUAACUCAAUAGGAUUAUUAAGUAAAUAUUGAACAAAAUAAAUCCGUUAGAACUUGUAUAGUACAUCAGUUCUACAACCACAUGCUCUAUUCUCUAUAUUGAAAAAGUAACUGAUAAAGUUUAAUUGACACCAAUCAAACUACAGGAGAAACCUACCCCUCUUAACUACAUAUCCAAACCUAAUAAAAAUCAAUGAGAAAUAUGUUCUUUUUUCUUGGAUGAAUUCAUCCACUCACAAUUAAAGUUAACACAAAUUUUUACUUAGACACCUAAACUAAGGGGCCGUUUGGCCAUGUGAUAUAGAAUCAUGAUAUGGUAUUAUAAUAUGGAGUCAUGAUAUGAAAUUGAUGUUUUGUUUGGACAUGCGAUAUGAAAUUUUUGUGUUGUAUAUUUUCUCAUAACAUACGAAUCUCAUAAGUUGUAAAACUAUUAAAAUAACCUCAAUUGUUUAAUCAAUCUUACCACUUGAACACCCUUAUCUUCAUUCCCUUAAUACUUUCACCUGAAAAGGCCAUCCCUUCUCCUAUGUAUAUGUGAAGUAGGAAACAAAUUCAAUAUUUUCCUUUCCUACACAUAUAAGGAUUUUCCUGAAUUAACUUUCUGGAAAUAAAUCAAGAGAAGAAUCCUAAAUAGUUUAGGAUUUAUUAUUUGGUAUUUAUUUAUUUAUUAUGUCUCGUUAGGAUUUGUUUAUUCUAAUAUCAUACAUGAAUAAGUUUUUUUAAGCUAAUUUGAAUGUACUUGAUAUAUAAUUUACUAAACAUUGUUUCAAACAAUUUAAACUCGAAACAUCUGGAAAAAAAAUUAAGUUUUUUUAACCCUUUUCGUGGGAGCUCUCACCUACAUCAAAAAGAAUUUUUAGCAGAAUAAAUUAAUUGCCGCUAAAUAUAUAUAUUUUUAGAUACAAUUACUAGUAACAAUUACAUUUAGCACUUUUUGUAAAUGUCGUUAUAGCUACAGGGAUAUUGAAUCUAAUGACAAUUAUCUAAUUUUGAUAAAGGGUUUAACACUCUUUGUUAAUGUGCAUAUUUAUUACCGUUAGAUGUUAUUUUUGUUGAAAUGAGGAAGGCUUUAGAGACAAAAUUGUGAUGGCAACUACGAAUUGAAAGCUUCCAGGUAUGUUUCUCGUAAGCUCUCCAACAGUUAAAUAUUUAAAAAGUACUAUAGAUUGUAAUAAUUAAUAACUUAAAAUAUUUAACACAGUUAAAUAUAUAAAAAGUACUAUAAAUUGUAAUAAUUAACAACUUAAAAUACGUAAAAGAUAUAUAAUAACCGAUCAAAGAAAAAUUUAAUUGACUCUCAAAAUUUCAAUCGUGUCACAUAAAUUUGGGCGGAGAGACUAAUAUAUUUUUCAAAUUAGGUUAUUAAGUUUAUCAUUAUUCAAACAACUUAUUAUUAUAACUAGUUUGUGGGCACGUGCAUUGUACGUGUCCCAUAUAAUUUUUUAUAGAUCCAUUUAAAUGAAUAAAAUUCCUUUUAAUGUUUAAAAUUAUCCCUUAUGAGCAAUCAACUAUAGAUUUUGAACUUUGAUUUGUAGUUAGCAAACUUUCAAUAAAGUCACAAAUUGCUAACUUGACCGCAAAUAAAAAUACAAAUUUACAACAAUAAAAAUUUCAUAGAAAAUUAAUGGACCAUGAAGCUACAUUGUAAAACCUAACUUUCAAAAAAUCAAAAGUCUAAUCAAAUCAUUACACAAAUAUUUCAAUUCACCGCACCACAUUUUUGUAGAAUAAAAAGUAAAUAGAAUUGCAGGAAAAAAUAUAAAAUAAAUAAAUAAAUAAAAUUGACCAAAUACUUCUCCAGCCUACUUAAAUAUUGAUAAAAAUCUCUAUUUUCCUUAGUCUCAGGUCUUGACUCACCUCGUGCUCUAUACCCUUUGAUUAUAUAACUACAAAAUAAGAAGCUGGACUCCAUAUAUUAAAAUCGAUUGGUAUAUGUAAGAGAUGAAAAUAAGAAAUUAUAAAAACAUAAAACAAAAAUAUUUAACCAUAAUACGCUAAAUUAUCAUUGAGAUGAUACCAAUACAAAUGUAAAUAAGUUGGUGUACCAGAUUUCUUAUCACAUGUAGCAAGUAUUUGUGAUUCUUAUGAAGGAAAAAAGAAGCUUUGAAAAUAUUAUAUAGAGACAGGUAAAGCCAUGAGAAUUAAAACUAAAAAAAAAUGUUUUAAUUUGUAGAGUAACCAUUUAAGUGGAGUUAUUUAGAGAAUUAAUGAUAGCCUUUUGGGUUUUAGAACUGAAAAAGAUUAUGAGAAAUAAAGAAGAUUAAAUAAGGAAGGUGUAAUUAAAAAAAUAUAAGUUUAAAGUGAUUUUAAAAUUUUUUAAUAUCAUAUCAUAUCAUAUAUAUAUAUAUAUAAAAGAGAACCUUAAGCCUGCCUACGUGGCGCUACCACAGACCAGAAUUCCCUUUUAAUUUAUUUAUUUCCAAAACUAGCCUUCACCGAAAAGUUGUGACUUUUUACGAAAAGUUGUGACUUUUAUGAAAAAUUGUGACUUUUAAGAAAAGUUGCGACUUUUAUGAAGAGUUGUGACUUUUAAGAAAAGUUGUGACUUUUAUGAAGAGCUGCGACUUUUAUGAAAGGUUGUGACGUUUAUGAAAUGUUGUGACCUUUUCGAAGGGUUGUGAUAUUUCCAAAGAGUUGUGACAUUUCCAAAGAGUUUUGACCUUUUUGAUAAGGCACAAUAAACAUAUUUGUUCACACUACUAUUUAUUGCCUAUAAAUAGAGGGAUUUCCCACUCAUUUUAAAUUUUAAAACAAUGAAAAUUCUGAACUUUUUUUUCUUCUUCUACACAAUUAAAUAUUCAUGCACUUUGCUCAUGUUGAGUGGCUUACUGACACCAUUGUUUUUGUAUCAAUACCUUGGUGAAUAAAAUCGUUCCAUCCUAAGAGGAUCUAAUUCAUUAAACCUCGGGUAUUAGAGGGGAAUAAUUUUCUUAAUGGGACACUGUGCAUUCAGUGGACUCGAUUUUUUCCUUUCUAUUUCAUUCUAAUUUUGCAUAUCCUGGUAAUUUUUUUUACAAUCAUUAAUUUAUUCUUAUGAUGUUAAUUGUUGUUUUUGAGUACAUGUUUUAAACUAUGUUGUUUAUGUUUCUACAAAGUUAUUGUCUCUAGUUAUAUUGAACAUAUACACAUAUAGUAGGUAUAUUGCUUGUGCAGAAAAUAAUUAUCGUACUCAGUUCCAAGAAUACAUGUUUUGAAAUUCUAUAUAAAAUUCUAUGACUUAAAAGUACUAUAUAUAAGCUUACAUAUUAUCUAGUUUAACAUAGAUAUGAGGUCUCUCACUUAUCAAUUGAAGAAAUUCAUUAUGCAAGUUCAAAAGUUAUAAUUGCUUUCAUGUUCAAGCGUAAUUUCUUUUUUGAAUAUGUUAACAAAUUUUUGAAUUUUUCUCUGAGACAUAUAUCACAACUGUAUAAUCUAUGCAACUUAAAUGUGUUCUUUUAUUAUGAAAUGCCUUUGUAUAUAUAUUCUUAUUUUUCUUUUAAUGUUGAUUAAAGAACCAGUGAUUUAUUAUUUCCUGAAUAAUUCAUUCAUUAGAGGUUCUUUUGUUAUGUGAUAAUGACAAAUAAUCAAAUUCAUGUUGGAAUAUUGCUAAUAUUUUUUUAAGAACCUAUUUUUUCCAUCAUUUUUAAUGUAUGAAUAUUAGUAAAGGAUUAUUUGCAAGUUCAAUGCAAUUAUUAUUUGUGACCGCGCGAAGCGCGGGCAAAUUACGUAGUAAUACAUAAAUAGAGGAAAAAUAAUGAAAAUUUUAAACAUUUGAGAAAAAAAGAUAAAUAUAAAUGGUGACCAUUGAGCGGUAUCACAUCACCUAGCUUAUAUAUAUACUAGUUUUCGAACACGUGCGUUGCACGUGUAUACCAUGCUAAUUAGUAUAUAAAUACUUCCAAAAUGUAAGUGUACGAUGUGUAAAAUACAAGCUCGAAUCAAUGAACGGUUCAACAUAUUCAACUGAUAUUAUGAUCAUUGCAAGACAAAUCAUACAAAAAAAUUGUUAUCAAUUGAAUUAUUUUGAAAACUAAUACUAUAACAGCUUCAAUUAUACAAGUCUUAUAAUAUAUCAAGUAUUCAACUUGUUAAAACUUCUUUUUUUAAAAUGUUACAAUACAUAAUUUACAUGUCGACAUUAUAGUUACAAAAUAUUUAAUGCCAUAAAGCUUCUGCCUUCUUUUUAAGGAAUAAUACCCUCCACAUUUUUACAGAUGCAUACAUAUCGAGAACUUGUCGUUGAAGGAGAGUGGUGUUUUGCAAUAGUUGUAGAGAAAUUCAAUCAACAUAUGUCUUCCUUAGGAUGACUAGUAGAUUAUUAUCUAUUUCAUAGUUUGCACCUACAAAAUAAAAGUAUUUAUUUGUUAUAAGAUAAUCAUUGUUUAACUAUUUAAUUGACAUAUAUAAAUAAUAAUUAUAUAUAUAUGUACCCUUCGUCUUCUUUGGCUCAUUCAAAAUUAUUAAUUCUGCCAUCUGUAAAUUUUGACAAAAGAAUUUUUUUUCAAGUUAUAUACAUAUAAUUGAAUUAUGAAGUACAACACAAUCAUUUGUGAGAUAUUAACAUUUAACAGUGUGGUAGAAAAAAAAAACAAUAUAAACCAAAAAUUAUAUGGUGCAAAAAAUUAAUGCAUAUAAAAAAAAGAUAACACCCAAAUCCCCCAAAGACCGAGGGAACCGAAAUUAUGUAUAUCUCUGCUAAACAUGUAGGAUAUCUAUAAAAGAAAUUAUAUUUAUAAAGUUCAAUUAUAAAAUAGGAAAUGCGGAAAUUAACAAUUUAGUUUUUAAUGGUAUGAAUAUGUCGAUGAAUUCCUACUUUUGUUUUUUUUUUUUUCAGAAUCAAACAACAACUCAGUUCAGUAGGGGUUGGGGAGCGCUGGGUGGGUAGGAGGAUACAAUAAUAAAUAAAUAUAGGAUGUCAUUUAUAAAAUUUAUUUUUGCUACUGAAAGUUAUUUUCCUCAUUUUUAAGUGACUUGAUUUUCCGAGUCUUUUUGAUUUUUGGUUAAAGUGAUUUGUUAGGCCCAAUUAAGCACUAAAAUGAGCUGUUGAAAAAAAAGCAGUAGCGCAUAAAGCAAAGGUAAUGAAUAGACAUAACGCUAAAAAUUAUACUUUUCUUUAUUGCCUCUAUUAUUUUCGAAUCUCUGUUUUUUCGAGUCAAGAAAGCAGAUUUGUUUUGCUUCAGUGAUCAUUCUUGUUUGCGAAUUACUCUUAGCAUUCAACAGGUACAUAAAGAAGUUGUUAGUAAUUAAAGAUAGAUAAAUAUUUAUCCGUUUCAAAAUUCUUAAAAAAUCAUUUUGUUUUGAAUUUGCAGAUUUCAGAAAUGGAGGUUGUCUUAGCAAUUGGUGAUGCUUUUCUCUCUUCAGCUUUUGAUGUUCUCAUUGAUAGGCUUGCUCCUCAGGGUGAUCUUCUCAAAAUGUUUCGGACGCGUAAGAAUGAUGUUGAGCUCUUAAAAAAGCUGAAAUUAACUUUGCUUGGUCUUCAAGCUGUGCUAAGUGAUGCAGAGAAGAAGCAAGCAUCAAAUCAAUUUGUGAGAGAGUGGCUUAAUGAGCUUCGAGUUGCUGUAGACUCUGCUGAAAACUUGAUUGAACAAGUCAAUUAUGAAGCUUUGAAGCUUAAGGUGGAAGGUAAGCAUCAAAAUCUUGCAGAAAAAAUAUUGAAACAUUGUAGAUUUUGCAACCUGUGCUUGAGUGAUGAUUCUUUUCUUAACGUAAAUGACAAGUUGGAAAAGACUAUUGAAACAUUGCAGAAUUUGCAAAAUCAAAUUAGUGACCUUGGCUUACAGAAUUAUUUUGGUUUGACUAAACAAGAAACUAGAACACCUUCAACUUGUUUGGUUGAUGAAUCUGAUAUCUUUGGUAGGCACAAGGAAAUAAAGGAUUUGAUUGACCUUUUAUUGUCUGAAGAUGCAAGUGGAGGAAACCUGACUGUAGUUCCUAUUGUUGGAAUGGGCGGUGCGGGUAAGACAACACUAGCUAAAGUGGUUUACAAUGAUGAGAAGGUGAAGGACCAUUUUGGUUUGAAAGCUUGGUAUUGUGUUUCUGAGCCAUAUGAUGCUUUCAGAAUAACGAAAGGGUUACUUCAAGAAAUUGGCUCAUUUGACUCAAAGAACGACGGCAAUUUUAAUCAGCUACAGGUCAAACUGAAGGAAGGCCUGAAGGGAAAGAAGUUUCUUGUUGUCCUUGAUGACGUGUGGAAUGAUGACUAUAAUGAGUGGGAUAACCUGAGAAAUGUUUUUGUACAAGGAGAUGUUGGAAGUAAGAUCAUUGUAACUACACGUAAGGAGAGUGUUGCUAAGAUGAUGUGUGCUGAUCGUUGCGCAAUCACCGUGGGGACUCUGUCUAAAGAUGACUCUUGGGCUUUAUUCAAACGACAUGCACUAGAAAAUAGGGAACAUUCAGAACUUGAAGAGGUUGGGAAAAAAAUUGCAGACAAGUGCAAAGGGUUGCCUUUAGCUCUAAAGGCACUUGCUGGUGUUUUACGCGGCAAAUCAGAGGUGGAUGAGUGGAGAAACAUUUUAAGAAGUGAAAUAUGGGAUCAGCAAAGUUGUUGGAAUGGUACAUUACCAGCUUUGAUGUUGAGCUACAAUGAUCUUCCUCCACAUUUGAAGAGAUGUUUUGCUUUUUGUGCAAUAUAUCCCAAAGAUUAUGAAUUCUGCAAAGACCAAGCUAUUUACCUGUGGAUUGCUAAUGGUCUUGUAAAGCAGUUUUGUUUAGGUAACGAAUACUUUGACGAGUUGAGAUCAAGAUCAUUGUUCGAAAGGGUCCCAGAGUCUGAAUGGGAAUCGGAGAGAUUCUUAAUGCAUGACCUUAUCAAUGAUUUGGCCAAAAUUGCAUCUUCAAAACUUUGUAUUAGAUUGGAAGAGAACGAAGGAUCUGAUGAUAUGUUGGAACAAAGUCGGCACAUGUCCUAUUCCUUGGGAUAUGAUGGUGAAUUUGAGAAAUUGAAACUACUCUCCAAAUCAGAGCAGUUGAGGACAUUGCUUCCAACCAAUAUUGGUUACUCAUCUCAGCUAAGCAAGAGGGUGUUGCAUAACAUACUGCCAAGACUGACGUCCUUAAGGGCAUUAUCAUUGUCAGGUUAUCCGACUAUUGAGUUGCCAAAUGACUUGUUUAUCAAAUUAAAGCUCCUCAGAUUUUUGGACCUUUCUGAGACACAUAUUAAAAAGUUACCAGAUUCCAUUUGUGUCUUGUAUAACUUGGAAACACUUCUCCUGUCAUCUUGUCAAUUUCUUGAGGAGCUACCGCUGCAGAUGGAGAAGUUGAUCAACUUGCGACACCUCGACAUAACCAACACUUGUUGCUUGAAGAUGCCGCUACAUCUUAGCAAGUUGAAAAGUCUCCAAAUGCUAGUGGGAGCCAAGUUUCUUGUAGGUGGUAGCGGUGGUUUGAGAAUGGAAGAUUUGGGUGAAGUACAUAACUUGUAUGGAUCUCUAUCAGUUUUAGAGUUGCAAAAUGUGGUUGAUAGAAGGGAAGCUGUGAAGGCAAAUAUGAAGGAAAAGGAACAUGUUGAGAAGUUAUCUUUGAAGUGGAGUGAAGGUAGUUCUGCCAACGAUUCACAAACUGAAAGAUCCAUACUGGAUGGGCUACGGCCAUACACAAACAUAAAAGCAGUCGAAAUCACCGGAUAUAGAGGGACAAGAUUUUCAAAUUGGCUGGCUGAUCCUUCAUUUCUUCAGCUAGUAGAUUUGUCUCUUAGCGACUGCAAGGACUGUGAUUCUUUGCCAGCACUAGGACAACUUCCUUCUUUGAAAUUCCUUUCCAUUAGAGGGAUGCAUGGAAUAACAGAGGUGACGGAUGAGUUCUAUGGCAGUUCAUCCUCCAAAAAGCCUUUUAACUGUCUUGAGAAGCUUGAAUUUGAAGAUAUGCCGGAGUGGAAGCAAUGGCACGUACUAGGAAGUGGGGAGUUCCCUAUACUUGAGUACCUUUCAAUUGAAAAAUGUCCGAAGUUGAUGGGGAAGUUGCCUGAAAAUCUAUGUUGUCUGACAGAAUUGAGAAUUUUAAAGACAACUCUUUUUGAUGAAGCUCAAAUGUUUAGAUCCCAAUUUGAGGGAAUGAUGCAGAUUGAGGAAUUAUAUAUCGACAAUUGUGACUCUGUUACCUCCUUACCUUUUAGCAUACUGCCCAGUUCCUUGAAGAGAAUAACCAUAUCUGGUUGUCAGAAAUUGAAAUUGGAGGAGCCAGUUGGUUAUUGUAACAUGUUUCUCGAGAAAUUGACACUGUUUAAAUGUGAUUGUAUAGAUGAUAGAUCACCUGAGUUGCUCCCAAGAGCACGCAUUUUGAGUGUAGAGCGUUGCAAUAACCUUACUAGUUUUUUGAUUCCUACUGCAACUGAAAGUCUCACUAUUUGGGGAUGUGAGAAUCUUGAAAUACUUUCGGUGGCAGUUGGAACCCAUGAGUCUGCAAUGACGUCUUUGCGUAUUUGGAAUUGUGAGAAGCUGAAGUGUCUGCCAGAAAUAGAACUCUUCAAUUUACAAGUCCUUGAGAUCUAUUAUUGCAAGAAACUAGUGAACGGCCGAAAGGAGUGGUGUUUACAGAGACUCCCCUGUCUCACAGAGUUAGAGAUCAGACAUGAUGGCAGUGACGAAGGGAUCCAACAUUGGGAGUUGCCUUCCUCUAUUAAAAGACUUACCAUGAAGAAUCUGAAAACGUUAAGCAGCCAAGUUCUCAAAAGCCUCACCUCUCUUGAAUAUCUAUCUAUUGAGGAUAGUUUACCUCAAAUUCAGUCACUGCAGGAACAAGGUCAGCUUCCCUCCUCUCUUUCUGUGCUAAAUUUAUGUCACCAUGAUGAGCUCCAUUCACUACAUCUUUGCCACCUCACUUCACUUAGACGUCUACACAUCUGGAAUUGCCCUAAUCUCCAAUCACUCUCCGAAUCAACACUGCCCUCCUCCCUCUCUCAGCUGACCAUCGAGAAUUGCGAUAAUCUCCAAUCACUUUCCGAAUCAGCAUUGCCCUCCUCCCUCUCUCAGCUGACCAUCAUAAAUUGCCCUAAUCUCCAAUCACUCUCCGAAUCAGCACUACCCUCCUCCCUCUCUGAGCUAACCAUCAGCAAUUGUCGUAAUCUCCAAUCACUCUCCGAACCAGCACUGCCAUCCUCCCUCUCUAAGCUGACCAUCAUGAAUUUCCCUAAUCUCCAAUUACUUCCAGUAAAAGGGAUGCCCUCUUCCCUCUCUACACUAAAUAUUCACAACUGCCCAUUGCUCACACCACUACUAGAAUUUGACAAGGGAAAAUACUGGCAAAUUAUUGCUCAAAUUCCCAAUAUAUAUAUUGAUGGAGAAUACCUGUAAUGAUUAAAACAAAUGGUGCUCUGACAAAUGUAAGUUAUUCCUCUCCCUCAUAAGCUUUUUAUUUUUGUUUACUUCACUUUGCUUUUUAGUUACUACUUUUCCUUUUGUAAAUCUUGUUGAGCAGUGUGGAAAGUAUAUAUGGCGUACAUUAAUUAAGCAGACUUUGAGAGAAUGUUUUAUUCAUAAUUUAUAAAAAUGAACGGUGUCAUACAUAAAUUCAUCCAUCUUUUUAUCUUUAAUUUUAUACUAUUCUAUAAUGAAGUAGUAAUUUUGAAUCAUUUUGUUUAUUGUUUUAAUCAUAUAUUCAUCUCUUAUUAAUUCUUUUAGUUUUAGUUGAUGCAUAUAAGUUGUUCAAACUAUGAUGCCGGCUUACUUAUCACGCUUUGUUGCAAUUUAUUGUCCAGAUAACAUGACAGUUAGUUUAGUGGAAUUCUCCUUUGCUUGUCUAUUAGCUUGAUUUGGUUGUUGAUCAAUUGUUAUUGUUGGAAUUGUUCGAUCUUCUCUUUGUUGUUCUUAAACUUCAGCAACUAAAAUCAUGAAUGGCUAGAAACAGAGAUGAAUUUAAGGCUAGUAUCUGCAUAGACGUACAGUGAUGUAUUGAGACUAUUUUAGAGGUUUAACAACUGAGAAGCCUUCCAUUCUUGAUUAAUUAAGAUGAAUUGGCAGCUUGGCUCCCUUCAGUUCUUAAAAAAUUACUCGUGAGCCAUAGUUGACGAAUUGAAUUUGAAGCUUCUCACUUGGCCGUAAGUUUAGGCAUCAAAUUUGGUAGUCAAAUAAAUCCAUAAUAUUUCAUUUAUUGUCUUGAGUAAUCAUUCAUGUGCAGCUAUCUAUAUAUAUAGAUGUGGUGCGCUGGUCUGUAAUUGUAAUACGUGGAUUGGCUAAGAGUUCUAACAUGUCUUUUUUAAUUACUUUCCGUAAGGGUGUCGCUAUUUCCAAAUUGUACAGCUAUCUACUUUGGCUUGCUUGAGAUGAAGCAUCACUUGCUGCAAAUGGAACAUUCAGCUCUAAUGAAACCCAAAGGUACAUGAGAAAAAAGUUGCAUAAUGUAACAAAUAAGAGACAUAUUGUACAUUAUGGUAAUAGAUUAUAAGUAUAGCUAUUACUUUUUCAUUGUUACGAUUUUGACAAGCCUCAACGAUUAUUUAGGAAGUGAAAAGUUUUGAAGGUCUCUCUGCUCAAGUCAAGAAGCGAAAGUUGUUGAACCUUCAAGUGGUAUGUAUUCUUCUCAUACAUGGGUGGAGCUAGAGAGGAAGCUAUGGGUUCGACAGAGACUGGUAGCCAUACUAAACAAGAUAAACAUUGUAAUGAAUGGUCUACGAUUACUAUUUUCACUUAUCCUCUUCUUUGUCAGGAUUUUGGUAACAAUACGUAAGGUGUUACAGCUCUUAGCUCAGUUGGUAAAAGGAAAAUUUUGCUGCAAUUCUCUGUUGAAUAGACCGUAACUUCAAUGUGGUCGUGACAGAAAAGUGUAAGUGCUUAAGAUAGGUUCGCAGUUUUGUUAUUGCCGACUGUAAACAUUAUGCUUAUGGUUUGAACUGUUUAUUAAUAAAUUUGUGUGAUCAUCAGAAUGAUCUAUCUCUUUUCUAUUAAUGAUGUUUAAUUUUCUUUUCAGGAUAUAAAUAGCUCCAUAGAGAAUCUAAAUUUUAGAAAUGAUAAUCACGGAUAACAAUAAGAAGUUUUAGGGAAUAAGUAAACUUCCAUUAUCAGGAUUUUUGGAGCAAUACGACAUCCAAUUGUUGUUUCAGUUAGAUUGCUCAUUUAUUUACAAAUGUAAGCUUAGGUUUUUCCAAAAUGAUAGCAAAAACUCGAGUCCCUUUUCAGCAAUCAUGUGAUGCUAACUUCUUCUGUUGUUUUGCAUUUCCGUCUUUGCUUUUAGCCUAAGCUUGGGAUGAUUAUUAACCUUGUCAUCUGGAAUUUGAUAAGCAUAAAAAGAUAUGUUUUACUCCUCAUGAUAUGCAGUUAUGCAGUUGUAGAGAUGAAGUCUCUGUGAGUUGAGGUGACUAGUGUCUUCCCAUGUUAUCAGUUCAGUUAGCUAUGUUUCAGUUUCUCCUUGCAUACUCGUACAUUCAAUGUACUGAUGUCAUUCAACCUGCAUCCUUUUAUGAUGCAGAUACAUGUGUUUAGGAUCAACAUGUGCUUCAAUAAGAUCAUUUGACAUUCCAGUUAGCUUGGUGAUCCUUCUUAUAUUCCGGAGGACUUCACCUUUACCUUAUGGUUAGUAGUUUUGAGAUGUCGCGGGUCUUGUCUCGAUUUCCUUCUAUAAUAGUAGAAACUUCAUAGAUAGAUAGAGUUAAGGAGUUUUUUUUAGUAAUUAUUUUCCUUUGAGUUGCUUUACAAACUAUAUUGUUGUUGAUUAUUUUUUUCAGACUUUAUGAGUUGAGUAUUUUGAGGUUAACUGAUUUCAUUCAGUUUUAAGCCUAUUAUUGCUUGAGUUAGUUUUCCGCUCGUAGUCGGCCAGGAUGAGGUUACGCUUGGGGACAAGCAAUGGUUCUCGAGUGCCGGCCACGUCCAGGGUGUAGGCUUGGGUUGUGACAUACAUUUUACUGCAGGAAUAUACUUGAUCAGGUGUUCUAUGAAUAUAUAUUUGUAGACUUUGAAAUUGUGUAAUCCUGACAAUUUGUAGUGUUAAUCUGCUUUACUCUCAUCACUACCUUCUUUGCUACAUUAUAGGACCUGGACUGCAAGUGGUCUUAGAUUCAAGAGACAACUGAAAAUUGGUAUAGCGAGUUUGAGAGUAGAGGACUAACCAAAUAGGCUGUUAAAAUUUACAUCACCCUUACCUUAGUCUUUACUAGUUUUUCCUUACAGGGAGUUUGACAGUUUUUUUUUAAAGUUUUGCAUGUAUGUUAUGAGAAGUAUCCCCUCUAGAAUGGUUCUAUGGCAAACUAACAAACAACUUUCUAUUUUGUCAGGAACUUGACAACUGUAUGACAGUCUUUAUGAGAAUAAUUUGCCAGCAAAUACAAUGUCAUUUUUUUGUGGGAGGUUCUUUCAGUUAAUAGAUGAAGUUUACAACUGGAAGCUAUUAAUCCCUCUACGUUCCGGUAAUUCAUUAAUUGCUCUGUCUAUCUCUGAACUAUUUAUUAAUGCCAUCUGUUGCUUGAAACAUGUUUACACCUGACACAGGUGAGGACUGGCCUAAAGUUUAUCAAAAAUACAAAAAAUGAUGCCGUCUUACUUGCUAUGCUUUGUUGCAGUUUACUGUCCUAUUAACUUGACAGUUAAUUUUGUGAAAUUCUUCUUUGCUUGUCUAUUAACUUGAUUUGGUUAUUGAUCAAUUGUUAUUGUUGGAAUUGUUCGAUCUUGUCUUCGUUGUUCUUAAACUUCAAUAACUAAAAUCAUGAAUGGCUAGAAACAGAGAUGAAUUUAAGGCUAGUAUCUGCAUAGACGUAUCAUGAUGUAUUAAGACUAUUUUAGAGGUUUAACAACUGAGAAGCCUUUCAUUCUUGAUUAAUUAAGAUGAAUUGGCAGCUUGGCUCCCUUCAGUUCUUAAAAAAAUUACUCGUGAGCCAUAGUUGACGUAUUGAAUUUGAAGCUUCUCACUUGGCAGUAAGUUUAGGCAUCAAAUUUGGUAGUCAAAUAAAUCCAUAAUAUUUCAUUUAUUGUCUUGAGUAAUCAUUCAUGUGCAGCUAUAUAUAUGGAUUGGUUAAGAGUUCUAACAUGUCUUGAGUAAUCAUUCAUGUGCAGCUAUAUAUAUGGAUUGGUUAAGAGUUCUAACAUGUCUUGAGUAAUCAUUCAUGUGCAGCUAUAUAUAUGGAUUGGUUAAGAGUUCUAACAUGUCUUUUUAAUUUCAUUCCGUAAGGGUGUCGCUGUCUCCAAAUCGUACAGCUAUCUACUUUGGCUUGCUUGAGAUGAAGCAUCACUUGCUGCAAGUGGAACAUCCAGCUCUAAUGAAACCCAAAGGUACAUGAGAAAAAAGUUGCUUAAUGUAACAAAUAAGAGACAUAUGGUACAUUAUGGUAAUAGAUUAUAAGUAAAGAUAUUACUUUUUUGUUGUUAGGAUUUUUACAAGGCUCAACGAUUAUUUAGGAAGUGAAAAGUUUCGAAGGUCUCUCUACUCAAGUCAAGAAGCGAAAGUUGUUGAACCUUCAAGUGGUAUGUAUUCUUAUGUUGGUUUGUACACCAGGACUAUGAAUGUAAUAGCUUGUAUUGUUGACUUUGGGUCCUAGUAUCGCACAACUUUAAACGUGUCACUUGGGUUUAAGGUCGCUUCUUUAUAUACCAGCAAUCUACAUAUCUCUUGUGCUUUGUCGAUGUGGUAUUUGCCUAGGAUGCUACAAUGAUUUUCUUUUUACUAUGGAUACCAAGACACAAAGCAAAAGACGACACAAUUAUUGGACUUUCUGUAUUGAGGAAUCAGAAUUUCUGAACGUGAAUGAUUAGAGAAAACUGUAAAUGCAAUGUACAAUGUACAAGAAACAGGGGAGACUUUGAGGAGUGAAAUUUGUUUGCAUAAUUUUUUUAAUGUUGUUAUUACUGAUUAAUGAUGUAUGUGUAUUUCAGUUCAUUUUUAUUUUUCUUUCUCCACCUUAUAUUAUAUAUUUUCUUUAGUGGAAAUCUUCUCAUACAUGGGCGGAGCUAGAGAGGAAGCUAUGGGAUCGACAGAGACUGGUAACUAUACAAAACAAGACAAACAUUACAGAGAUUGCCAUCGGUCUCCGAAUCAACACUGCCCUCCUCCCUCUCUCAGCUGACAAUAGAUGAUUGCGAUAAUCUCCAAUCACUCUCCAAAUCAACACUUCCCUCCUCCCUCUCUAACAGAGAAGUUGUCAUUCAACUUAUACUCACAUGAUUACAGCAGUUUUUCCACUAAUAAGGACAUGGGAAUUCUAAUAGUAAGUUUAGAUAUUGUUGAUAAUAUGGUUUUCAUUGUUUGAAAGUUGUUUAACCUGUAGCUCCUAAUUGUGAUGCUUCAUUUACACAUUUUCCAAAUUUUAUCUUAUUACAGGGAUAAAGCCUGUCUAAGUCAAUUAGAUGUUACAGAUUUGCAACUAAUUGUUGUGCGUUAUACAAUCGCAUAUUUCUUGGAUGGAAGGUAUGGAUUGGUUUCUCAUUGCUUAUUGAUUUAUGCUCUUAUCACGUGGUAAUUUCACAUCUCAAUUGCGAAAGACAUCAUAUGUAGUUUGUUCAACCAUGUUUAAUCGAAAUUUUUAAGUUCUUGUAAGCAUCAAACAUUCCAUGUCAAGAAUGAAACUUUGCUUAACAGUAGAACAAAGAUCUGCUGUCACUAUAGAAAAUCUUUUUAAAUGAAUCUAUGCAGAAUAAUUGUACUUGUACCAUCCUUCAAUGUUUGCACAUAUUUAAUUGUGCCAAACAUGACGAUGAUUACUAAGGUUUGUCAAUUGGUUUCUAAAUUGAAUAUAAGGUGAGUUUUCUAUUGAAGCUUACAGAUUUUCUUACAAAUAUUUAUGUAGGCUGGGAUAUACUUGAAAGCAUAAGAAGAACGAAUAUGCAUCAAUCAUCCAUGGGAAUGUAUACUUAAGAGGAGACAAUGGCGACCACCACAUCUAUUUGUUAGGGCAUAAAAAGAACAUGUCUAAGGUAUGAAAACUCUUGCAAGAUUCUGUCUUUAGGAAUCAUUCAUGUACAUCUAUGUGUAUUGAGACGUGUGUGCGCUGGUCUGUAAUUGCAAUAUAUAUGUGGAUUGGUGAUGAAUUCUAAAAUUCUUUAUAAUUGCUUUCAGUAAGGAGGUUGUGAUUUCCAAUUCGUACCGCUGUCUACUGUGGCUUCCUUGAGAUGAAGCAUGACUUUCUGCAAAUGGAACAUCCAGCUCUAAUGUACCCAAACACCGGAUGUGGACAAGACCAUGGUUGUUUACACUUCAAUUCAGUUUCCUGAGUAUACACAUAGUGUGAUUGCUCGUUGUCUUGGUGUUCCUGAGCAUAGUAUCCGUGUGAUAACAAGAAGGGCUGGAGGUGGCUUCAGUGGCAAGAAAUAUGCCCAUAGUACUAUUAACAGAGAAAAAAUUGAAAGUUUUUAGAAUAGUUUUGAAACAUUAGCAAGGCUCAACAAUGAUUUGGGAAGUGAAUUUUUUUUUGUAAGGUCCCUUUGCUUAAGUCGAGAAGGGAAAGUUGUUGAAUCUUUAUGUGGUAGUUACUCUUAUGUUGGAUUGAACAUCAGGACUAUGGACGCUUCUUAUGUUGGUAAACAUAUUUAUGAUAUGGUAGGCCCCUUUUAACGCUAUAGUGAGCUGGGUAGAAAUCUAUCAUUUUAAUCUCUUUUAUUUUUGAGUCCCCCACCCAGUCCCCCUUUCUACAUCCCUAAUAAAUUAUCCUUACUCUCUUGCUUCAAUUAUAGAAUUGAGAAAGUUAUGAAUUUGCUUCAAUUUAUCAUUAUCUUCUUGAUGUUUGAAAAGUCUUAAUUUUGGAAGGAAAAAAAAUGACAGUUGGUGGUGCAUUUUUCUCUUGAGCUUUGAGAUAUUCUGUAUCGUUAACACCAUGGUUUAUUAUGUAUAAAAAUAAUAUUAAAUAAAGUAUAUAAUACAACUAACACAUGUAUUAUUAUUUUUUUAGAGAAAAUGUUUUAAUAUACUUCUUAACUUUGUCAUUUAAUGUUGAUACAACUUUCGUUAAAAAAGUGGCUCACAUAUACCUCUAUUGUUACACAAAUGAUUCACAUAUACCCUUUUCUUCUAACGAAAGUUUUAAAAAAUCAAUUUAAAAUUUAUUUUUGAAAAAACCAUUUAUGUAGGGAUAUAUUUGAUCCUUCUCACACAUAUUUAUUAUUUUGAUGGUCAAAUUUAUUUUUACUAAAUUUCGUGUAAAAUUUAUUAUGUAUACCCCAAUUAUUUUUGCAGAUACAAAAAAUAAAUUACAACAUAUUCAAAAAUAUUAGCUUUAAAUCUUUUUCUUCUUUUUUUUUUUAAAAAAAAAGAAUUCUCAUAUUAAUUUUUGUUAGGUUUUGAUGUGUAAUUAAGAGGGGUAGGUAAGUUGAUUGGUAACCAAUAAAUUUUAUCAAUUACUUUUGGCACAACUUGUGUUGUCUUGGCCUCAUAUCCUUUUCCACUACAUCACAAAUAGCCCAACAAUCAAUAUAUUAUAUAUAAUAGAGCACAUGAUCGCAAAAUUGAUAUACUAGCUUAUUUGAGCACAAAUUUUAAGAAAUAAAAAGAGAUUUUCAAAAUUUAUAAUUUUAAAUUUAAAUGUAUGUGUUCUUUAAAUUUUAUGAUCUUAAAUUUUCCAAAAGUCAUGAACAAACUAAAAGGUGCAUUAACUUAUUAAAAUCUUAUGAUGCAUAAAUGCACUAAUUAAGUUCAAUAUAAAAGAUCACACAUGAUGAGACAAUUAUAAUAAGAGAUUAUUUUGAUUUAAAAAGGUAAACCACAUGGAAUCUAAUUAAAUAUAAAAUAAUCAAAUGUCCUUGAGAAAACUUUUUGUCCGUACUGAUUAGUGCACAAUCAAAUUUAUUAAAAAUUACUCAUGCAAUAGAAUUGAAAAGUUGUUACAAAAACAUGCCGCUUACCAUAUUUGUAUUGGCGCAAUUUAAAUUAAAGUUUUAUUCAACUGUCUACAAAAGCAUCACGUCUUGUUUACACUUGAAAUUAAAAAAUUACCUUAUAAGUUGUUAAAACAAAAUUUUAGUAGUAGAUUUUCACGUGAGAAAUCAAACACUUGAACAUCAAUUAAAGAAUAUGAUUUAUAUGAUAAGCAAAAAAUAAAGAAACAAAAAGAAAAGAGCUUUGACCUUCAACGGGAUUAAAACUUGUGAAGAAAAGUCCCUAUUACAUUGCAACAUCAAUUUGACAUCAAAGUCCUAUAUUUCUUAUUAUCAAUUUGUAUUAAGCAGAGUGUUUUAACAAAGGACAAAAAGUUCGAUCAACAUUUCUAAAAAAGGUCUUCAUGCUUUUUAUUUUUUAAUAUAGUUAAUAGUAUAAUAGAUAGAUACUAGAACUGCUAAUGUGCUUCUUCAAGGAACUCUGCCACUUAACAUUGAGCUCCAAUAAACAUUGAGAUGUUAUCCGCGAGUGUGUUGCACACAUGUACGUAUUUGGCUAAAUUACCCAAAAAUGUCAAAAUAGCACAGCUGAACCUUGUAUUGAUGUUUAAUUAAAUGAUACAAGUCUUUGGUCUCUAAAUGGUCCCCGUUUUCUACGACCACCAAUUGAGAGAGCAAUGAAUAGGCACUAACAAACAUAGUUUUUACCAAUUACAACUUCUUGUUUGCAAAUUUACUAGCAAAAGAGAGAGAAAUCAGUGAUCAUUCUUGUUUGCAAAUUACUCUUAGCUUCAACAGGUAAAGUGAGGUUGUUAGUAAUUGAACAUACAAACAUUCAUCUUCUCAAAUUUCUUAAAAUCAUUUUGUGUUUUGCUUUGCAGAUUUCAGAAAUGGAGAUUGGCUUAGCAGUUGGUGGUGCAUUUAUCUCUUCAGCUUUGAAUGUUCUCUUUAAUAGGCUUACUCCUCAGGGUGAGCUGCUCAAAAUGUUUCAGAAGCAUACCGAUGGUGUUCAGCUCUUAGAGAAGCUGGAGGAGAUUUUGCUUGGUCUUCAAAUUGGGCUAAGUGAUGCAGAGAAUAAGCAAGCAUCAAAUCUACUCGUGAGCAAGUGGUUAAAUAAGCUUCAGAGUGCUGUGGAAUCUGCUGAAAACUUAAUAGAACAAGUCAAUUAUGAAGCUUUUGUGGGGUCCAGUCCCACUUUUCUUUUUUAGUGUCAACAAUUGCUGCAUGCAAUUGUCAAUUGUUGGCAAAUUGCAAUAGCAGCAAUUGUUGAAAAACACAGCAAUUAAAAAUGCUUUCGGUGGCACAACUUUGACAUACUAUGUAUAGUGUUGAAAUUUGCAGUUGCAAAUUUCUUCUAUAAAUAGAGAGCCCUUUGCUCAUUCCCAAACACACCAAUUCACAGAGAGUAAAAUAUUUAGAGAGCUGUGAGGUUUCCAUAGACUAUAUAAGAAAAUAGUCUGUGAAGAAAAAUAGAGUGUGAGCGAUAUUUUAGUAAGGUGGAAACCAAAAGAGUGUUAUUCCUUUUGAGUGUGUAGUAGUCACUUUGAGUAUUGUACUCGUGACUACAGUGUAAAAUUCCUUACUAUAGUAAUAUCAGUUGCUCCUCUUGGCCCGUGGUUUUUCCCUUAUUUAGAAGGGUUUCCACGUAAAAUUCUUGGUGUCAUUAUUUUCCCAUUUUAUUUCCAUUACUUUUACCAUAUAUAUUUUUGUGCUUGUCCGUGUUUUCCCAACAGCUUUGAGGCUUAAGGUGGAAGGUGAGCAUCAAAAUCUCGAAGAAACAAGCACCCAGCAAGUAAGUGACCUCAACCUUUGCUUGAGUGAUGAUUUCUUUCUUAAGUUGGAAGACACUAUUAAAAAAUUGGAGGUGUUGGAAAAGCAAAUUGGUCGCCUUGGCUUGAAGGAGCAUUUUGGUUCGACUAAACAAGAAACUAGAACACCUUCAACUUCUUUGGUUGAUGAAUCUGAUAUCUUUGGUAGGCACAAGGAAAUAAAGGAUUUGAUUGACCGUUUAUUGUCUGAAGAUGCAAGUAGAGGAAACCUGACUGUAGUUCCUAUUGUUGGAAUGGGCGGCGCGGGUAAGACAACACUAGCUAACGUGGUUUACAAUGAUGAGAAGGUGAAGAACCAUUUUGGUUUGAAAGCUUGGUAUUGUGUUUCUGAGCCAUAUGAUGCUUUGAGAAUAACGAAAAGGUUACUUCAAGGAAUUGGCUCAUUUGACUCGAAGGAUGACGGCAAUCUUAAUCAGCUACAGGUCAAAUUGAAGGAAAGCCUGAAGGGAAUAAAGUUUCUUGUUGUCCUUGAUGAUGUGUGGAAUGAUACCUAUAGUGAGUGGGAUAACCUGAGAAGUGUUUUUGUACAAGGAGUUAUGGGAAGUAAGAUCAUUGUAACUACACGUAAGGAGAGUGUUGCUCAAAUGAUGUGUGCUGAUCAUUGUGCAAUCACCAUGGGGACUCUGUCUAGUGAAGACUCUUGGGCUUUAUUCAAACGACAUUCACUAGAAAAUAGGGAUCAUCCAGAACUUCAAGAGGUUGGGAAAAAAAUUGCAGACAAGUGCAAAGGGUUGCCUUUAGCUCUAAAGACAGUUGCUGGUACUUUACGCGGCAAAUCAGAGGUAGAAGAGUGGAGAAACAUUUUAAGAAGUGAAAUAUGGGACCAGCAUUGUUUGAAUGGUAUAUUACCAGCGUUGAAGUUGAGCUACAAUGAUCUUCCUGCACAUUUGAAGCAAUGUUUUGCUUUUUGUGCAAUAUAUCCCAAAGAUUAUGAAUUCUGCAAAGACCUACUUAUUUACCUGUGGAUUGCUAAUGGUCUUGUAAAACAGUUUUGUUUAGGUAAGGAAUACUUUGACGAGUUGAGAUCAAGAUCAUUGUUCGAAAGGGUCCCAGAGUCUGAAUGGGAAUGGGAGAGAUUCUUAAUGCAUGACCUUAUCAAUGAUUUGGCCCAAAUUGCAUCUUCAAAACUUUGUAUUAGGUUGGAAGAGAGCAAAGGAUCUGAUGAUAUGUUGGAACAAAGUCGACACAUGUCCUAUUCCAUGGAACGAGGUGGUGAAUUUGAGAAAUUGAAACAACUCUCCAAAUCAGAGCAGCUGAGGACAUUGCUUCCAAUCAAUAUCGGUUACUCAUCUGACCUAAGCAAGAGGGUGCUGCAUAACAUACUGCCAGGACUAACAUCCUUAAGGGCAUUAUCAUUGUCAGGUUAUGACAUUGAGGAGUUUCCAGAUAACUAGUUUAUCAAAUUAAAGCUCCUCAGAUUUUUGGACCUUUCUCAGACAUGUAUUGAAAAGUUGCCAGAUUCCGUUUGUGCAUUGUAUAAAUUGGAGACACUUCUCUUGUCAUCUUGUACUUCUCUUGAAGAGUUACCGCUGCAGAUGGAAAAGUUGAUUAACUUGCGUCAUCUUGACAUAAGCAACACUUGGGUCUUGAAGAUGCCGCUACAUCUGAGCAAGUUGAAAAGCCUCCAAGUGCUAGUGGGAGCCAAGUUUCUUCUAAGUGGUUUGAGAAUGGAAGAUUUGGGUAAUCUACAUAACUUGUAUGGAUCUGUAUCAGUUUUAGAGUUGCAAAACGUGGUUGAUAGAAGGGAAGCUGUGAGGGCAAAGAUAAGGGAGAAGAAUCAUGUUGAGAAGUUAUCUUUGGAGUGGAGUGAAAGUAGUAGUGCCGACAAUUCACAAACUGAAAGAGACAUACUUGAUGAGCUACGCCCACAUAAAAACAUAAAACAACUCCAAAUCACCGGAUAUAGAGGGACAAAUUUUCCAAAUUGGCUAGUUGAUGUUUCGUUUCUUAAGCUAGUAGAGUUGUCUCUUAGAAACUGCGAGGACUGUUAUUCCUUGCCAGCACUAGGAGAACUCCCUUGUUUGAAAUUCCUUUCCAUUAUAGGAAUGCAUGGAAUAACAGAGGUGACGCAUGAAUUCUAUGGCAGUUCAUCCUCCAAAAAGCCUUUUAACUCUCUUGAGGUGCUUGAAUUUAAAGAUAUGCCGGAGUGGAAACAAUGGCACGUACUAGGAAGUGAGGAGUUCCCUAUACUUGAGAACCUUUCAAUUGAAAAUUGUCCGAAGUUGAUGGGGAAGUUGCCUGAAAAUCUUUCUUCUCUGAUAGAAUUGAGAAUUUCAAGGACACCUCUUUUUGACGAGGCUGGACUGUUUGCAUCCCAACUUCAGGCUGACAGAAUCGUUGUAUUAUCUAUUGAGUAUUGUAACUCUGUUACCUCCUUACCUUUUAGGAUACUGUCCAGUUCCUUGAAGAGAAUAAUGAUAUCUCAUUGCCAGAAAUUGAUAUUGGAGGAAUCAGUUGGUUAUUGUAACAUGUUUCUGGAGGAAUUGAGACUGCGUGAAGGUGAUUGUAUAGAUGAUAUGUCACCUGAGUUGUUCCCAAGAGCACGCAAUUUGUAUGUAUAUAGUUGCGACAACCUUACUAGGUUUUUGAUUCCUACUGCCACUGAAACUCUCUUUAUUGGGAAUUGUAAGAAUGUUGAAAAACUUUCGGUGGCAUGUGGGGGGGACCCAGAUAACGUUUUUAAGUAUUGAGGGCUGUUGGAAGCUGAAGUGGCUGCCAGAACGUAUGCAGGAACUCCUUCCAUCUCUUAAGAAAUUGGUUCUGCUAAGUUGUCCAGAAAUAGAGUCUUUUCCUGAAGGAGGAUUGCCCUUUAAUUUACAAUUCUUUAAGAUUGACAAUUGCAAGAAACUGGUGAAUGGAUGAAAAGAGUGGCUUUUACCGAGACUCAGAGAGUUAGUGAUCAGACAUGAUGGCAGUGAUGAAGAGAUUGAACAUUGGGAGUUGCCUUCAUCAAUUACAAGUCUUAACAUACACAAUCUGAAAACAUUAAGCAUCCAAGUUCUCCAAACCCUCACCUCUCUUCACUAUCUAUCUACUUCUAAUUUACCUCAAAUUCAGUCAAUGCUGGAAGUUGGGAGUUGCCUUCCCUCGUCUCUUUCAGAGCUACGUUUAGAAUACCAUGAUGAGCUCCAUUCACUACAUCUUUGCCACCUCACUUCACUUCAAAGUCUACACAUCUGGGAUUGCCCUAAUCUCCAAUCACUUUCUGAAUCAGCACUGCCCUCCUCCCUCUCUCACCUGCGUAUAUGGAAUUGCCGUAAUCUCCAAUCUCUUUCAGUAAAAGGGAUGCCCUCUUCCCUCUCUGAACUAUCUAUUCUCAACUGCCCAUUGCUCACACCACUACUAGAAUUUGACAAGGGGGAAUACUGGCCAAAUAUUGCUCAAAUUCCCAUCAUAUGUAUUGAUGGUAACUACCAGUAAUGAUUAAAAUGAAUGGUGCUCUGACAAAUGUAAGUUAUUCUUUUCCCUCAGAAGCUUUUUAUUUUUGUUUAAUUCACUUUGCUGUUUUUGCGAACUCUUUUCCUUUUUUUAUGUCUUGUCGAGCAGUGUGGAGCGUCUAUUGCUCAAACAGCAGCUACUGACCAAAAAUUGCUCAUAUUUCCACCAUAAUGUUGAUUGGGAGAGACAGUAAUGAUUAAAACGAGUGGUGCUUCAAUAGAUGUAAGUUAUUCUAUUUCCUUAGUAUCUUUUCAUUUUUGGUUAAAAAAAAUUCUUUGUUAAAUCUUUUUGACCAGUGUGUGUAGCCAUCUAUUGCUUCUGUGAAGUCGAGGAAAUAUCUAUAGAUCAGGAUAAAAUCUAUAUAUUUGCGACAUUGUAAAAGAAAUCUAAUAUAGGUAGGAAUUGAGAUAAUUUGCUCUGCUGUUGGUUUAAUAUACGUCAGCAAGAUUUUUAUAGCAACUCAUUACUGGUGUAAACAACUUUAUUCUACAACUAACAGCAAGACAAAUCUCACUCGUUAUCUUAGUUGACUAUUAAGACUCACUUUUCUUCUCUAUUAAUCUAUGUUCUCUCUCAGAUCUUGUAGACUAGAAUAUUUUUCGCCAUCACGAAAAUUCUGCUCAUAUCUCCACCAUAGAAGUCGAUGGAGAAUACAUUUAAUGGUUAAACUGAAUGGUGCUCUCGCAAAUGUAAGUUUUUCUUUGUCCUCAGAAGCUUUCUAUUUUUGUUUACUUCCCUUUGCUUUCCCUUUUUUAAGAUCUUGUUGAGUAGUAUGGAGUGUCUAUUGCCACUAUGAAGUCGAGAAAUCAUCUUCAGCUCGAGAUAAAUUGAAUUUUAGAUGACCACAAAAAACAAAGGUGAUAAAAAAAAUUAUAUUCGUGUGGGAACAUGUAAAACGAAAUCUAGUAUAUAUAGGAAUUAAAAUAACUUGCUCCACAAAAUCUUGUUCUUUCCGUUUUCAGUGAGUUUAGAGUUAUGCACAUGUCCACUAUUGAAUUCAAAGCUUUAAUAGAAUUCAAAGGUGUACAAUACACAAGGUUUGUUUCCGAUCUAUCAAAAAUAUAUAAAAGCUUGCCUGCCAAUAAAUUUAACACCUAAAAGCAUCAGCACUAUUCAGGUUUUUAUUAAUGAUUAUUGUAUAUCAACUGAGCAAAUUUCUUUCUUUGUCAGGAUUCUGGUAACAUUAUAUGUAAGCUAUUACCGCUCUAGAUCAGUUUGUAAAAGGAAAGCUCUGCUGCAAUUCUCUAUUGAAUAGGCCGUUGCUUGAAUGUGGUCUGACAGCAAAGUGUAAGUGAAUAAAGAUAGUUUCGCAGUUUUGUCGCUGACUGUAAACGUUAAGUUUAUGCUUUGAACUGUCUAUACAUAAAUAUAUGUGAUCAUCGGAAUGAUGUAUAUCUUUGAUAUUAAUGACAUUUAAUAUUCUUUUCAGAAUAUAAAUUAUGUCGUGCUCAUCAUCAAGUGCGUAGCUUUAUAUUUAUGCUCCUAAAUUUUAGAAAAGAUAAUCACGGAUAAUGAUCAUAAGUAUUAAAAAAUAAGUGAACUUCCAGCCAGAAUUAGAUGUGUUAGACUUGCGGCUAAUUGUUGUGCGUUAUAUAAUUCUUGGAUGCCAGGUAUUGGAUUGGUUUCUCAUUGCUUAUUGACUUAUACUCUUAUCACGUUUUAAUUUUACAUCUUGUGAAAGACAUCAUAUGUAGCUUGUGUAACCAUGUUUAAUCGAAAGUAUUUAGUACUUGUAAGCAUCAACCAUCCCAUGUCAAGAAUGAAACUUUUCUUAAUAGUAGAACGAAGAUCUGUUGACACUAUAUAAAAAACUUUUUAUGUGAAUCUAUGCAGGAUACGUUGUAUUUGCACUAUCCUUCAAUGUUUGCACAUAUUUAAUUGUGCCACAACAUGACCAUGGAUGACUAUGAUUUGUCAGUUGAUUGCUAAAUUGAAUAUUAGGUGAGUUUUCUAUUGAAGCAUAUAGAUUUCCUUACAAAUAUUUAUGUAGGUUGGGGAUAUUCUUGAAAGCAUAAGAAGAAAGAAUAUGCAUCAAUCAUCCAUGGAAAUGUAUACUUACGAGGAGACAAUGGCCAUCACCACAUCUGUUUGUUGGGACAUAAAAAGAGCAUCCCUAAGGUAUGGAGAAACUCUUGCAAGAUUCUGUUACAUCAGUAUGAAUAUUGAUCCUGACAUUUUUUUUCUGUUUCUUGUGUCUCUGGAGUUCUCUCAUUAAAUAGGAAAAGAUUUUAGUGUCAGUACUUCUCUAUCUGAAUCCAUAGUUAGAAGUACAGGUAUAUGGGAAUUGAUGUCAUUCAUACUUGGGAACAAUUGAAAUUAAUCAUGAGGGAAAAGUAUAUCAUCCAGCAGUACAAGCUGUUCAAAAUAUGAUGCUGUCAUACUUACUACUCUUUGUUGCAAUUUACUGUCCAGAUAACUUAACAGUUAAUUUCGUGGAAUUCUACUUUGCUUGCCUAUUAGCUUGAUUUGGUCGUUGAUCAAUUGUUGUUGUAGGAGUUGUUCGAUCUUGUCUUAGUUGUUCUUAGACUUCUGUCAACAAAAAUCAUGAAUGGUCAGAAAAAUGCAAUCGAUUUGCAUCAGAGAUGAAUCUAAGGCUAGUAAACGAAUAGACGUGUCAUGAUGUAUUAUGACUAUGCUAGAGGGUGAACAAUUGAGAAGCCUUCGGUUCUUGAUUAAUUGAGAUGAAUUGGCGGCUUGGCUCCCUUCACAUUGCUUUGUUCCUCUAGCUUCUUCAGCAUAAAAAAUUGCUUGUGAGCCUUUUAUGAUAUACUGAAUUUGACACUUCUUCACUUGGCAGUAGGCUUAGAAAUCACUUUUUGUAGUCAAAUAGAACCAGAACCUUUCAUUACUUGUCUAGAGUAUUCAUUCAUGUGCAGCUGUAAGUAUAAACAGUGUGUGGUCUGUAAUUGUAACAAGGGGCUUGGCUUAGAGUUCUUAAAUUUCUUUUUAAUUGCUUUCAGUAUGGAGGUUGUGAUUUCCAAGUCAUGCAGCCGUCGACUAUGGCUUCCUUGAGAUGAAGCAUGACUUGCUGCAAAUGGGACGUACAGCUUUGAUGGAACCCAAAGGUACAUGAUAAAUAAGUUGUUUAAGUAGCACACAAGAGAGAUAUUGACAUUAUGGUCAUAGAUUAUAAGGAAAGAUAUUACUUUUUCAUUGUUAGGAUUUUGACAAGGCUCAGUGCUCAUUUGGGAAGUGAAAAGUUUCGAAGGUCUCUCUGUUCAAGUCGAGAAGUGAAAGCUGUUGAACUAUGUAUGUAAUAGCUUGUAUUGUUGACUUUGGUCCCUAGGCUCCCUUGGGUCUAAUGUCACUUCUUUUUACACCAACAACCAGUAUCUUUCUUGCGUUUUGUUUUGUCGAUGUGGUAUAUGCCUAGGAUGCUACAAUAAUGGUGUUCUUUUUACUCUGGAUACCAAGACAAAAAGCAAAAGACGACACAAUUAUUGGACUUUCUGUAUUGAGAAAUUGAAAUUUCUGGACACAAAUGGUUAGAGAAAACUGUAAAUGCAAUGUAAAAUGUAUAAGAAACAGGGGAGACUUUGAGGAUUUGUGAAUUGUUAUAGCUCUUAGCUCAGUUGAUAAAAGGAAAUUUUUUCUGCAAUUUUCUGCUGAAUAGACAGUCACUUGAAUGUGGUUGUGACUAAGAUAGCUCUUAGCUCAGUUGGUAUAAGUGAAUAAAGACUAGCAUUUUUAUCGCUGAGUGUAAGUGCUGUUUUGUUAUCGCUGAGUGUAAGUGCAAAAUGACUAGUCACUUAUCAGGAUUUCUGAAACAAUACAGCAUCCAAUUGUUGUCUCAGUUAGAUUGCUCGUUUUGUUACAAAUGUAACCGUAGGUUUUUCCAAAAUGAUAGCAAAAGCUUGAGUCCCAUUUCAGCAGUCAUGUGAUGCUAAUUUCUUCGGUUGUUUUGCAUUUCCGUCUUUUCUUUUAACCUAAGCCUGGGAUGAUUAUUAACCUUCUCAUCUGGAAUUUCAUAAGCAUAAAAAGAUAUAUGGAAAUCUGGCUCGGCAAGAUCAGUUUGACAUCCAAGACAGUGAAGAGCUUAACAGAAUGAAGGAAGAAAAUGCCAAUCUACAAGAAAAGCUGAAUGAUGCAGGUAUACAUUCUUAAUUGAGAUUCCAGACGGUGCAAAAUUGUAAAAUAUAAAAAAUUGCUUGUGAGCCAUAUAUAAUAUAUUGAAUUUUAAACUUCUUCACUUGCAGUAAUCACUUUCUUAGUCAAAUAAAACGAUGGUAUUUCAUUACUUGUCUAGAGGAAUCAUACAUGUACAACUAUAUAUAUAGAGACGUGUGUGCUGGUCUGUAAUUGCAAUAUGUGGAUUGGCCAAGAGUUCUAAAACUUCUUUUUAAUUGGUUUUGGUAAGGAGGUUGUGAUUUCCAAGUCGUACAGCUGUCUACUGUGCCUUCCUUGAGAUGAAGCAUGACUUGCUGCAAAUGGAACAUCAAGCUCUAAUGUACCCAAACGCCGGAUGUGGACAAGACCAUGGUUGUUUACGCUUCAACUCAGUUUCCUGAGUAUACGCAUAGUGUGAUUGCUCGUUGUCUUGGUGUUCCUGAGCAUAAUAUCUGUGUGAUAACAAGAAGGCCUUCGGUGGC
rnacentral:lncRNA from 1 species